rnacentral:rRNA from 1 species
CCAAAGGKGGWCGAUGCGUAGCCGWCCUKAGGWGGGKASAUCAGCCACACUUGGACUGACGACACGAGCCYAGACUCUACGGGAMGCAGCAGUAGKGKAAUCUUCCGCAAUGRACGAMAGUCUGACGGAGCAACGCCGCGUGAGUGAUGMAGGUUUUCGGAUCGUAAAGCUYUGUUGUUAGGGAAGAACAAGUGCCGUUCAAAUAGGGCGGCACCUUGACGGUACCUAACCAGAAAGCCACGGCUAACUACGUGCCAGCAGCCGCGGUAAUACGUAGGUGGCAAGCGUUGUCCGGAAUUAUUGGGCGUAAAGGGCUCGCAGGCGGUUUCUUAAGUCUGAUGUGAAAGCCCCCGGCUCAACCGGGGAGGGUCAUUGGAAACUGGGGAACUUGAGUGCAGAAGAGGAGAGUGGAAUUCCACGUGUAGCGGUGAAAUGCGUAGAGAUGUGGAGGAACACCAGUGGCGAAGGCGACUYUCUGGUCUGUAACUGACGCUGAGGAGCGAAAGCGUGGGGAGCGAACAGGAUUAGAUACCCUGGUAGUCCACGCCGUAAACGAUGAGUGCUAAGUGUUAGGGGGUUUCCGCCCCUUAGUGCUGCAGCUAACGCAUUAAGCACUCCGCCUGGGGAGUACGGUCGCAAGACUGAAACUCAAAGGAAUUGACGGGGGCCCGCACAARCGGUGGAGCAUGUGGUUUAAUUCGAAGCAACGCGAAGAACCUUACCAGGUCUUGACAUCCUCUGACAAUCCUAGAGAUAGGAMGUCCCCUUCGGGGGCAGAGUGACAGGUGGUGCAUGGUUGUCGUCAGCUCGUGUCGUGAGAUGUUGGGUUAAGUCCCGCAACGAGCGCAACCCUUGAUCUUAGUUGCCAGCAUUCAGUUGGGCACUCUAAGGUGACUGCCGGUGACAAACCGGAGGAAGGKGGGGAUGACGUCAAAUCAUCAUGCCCCUUAUGACCUGGGCUACACACGUGCUACAAUGGACAGAACAAAGKGMAGSGAAACCGCGAGGUUAAGCCAAUCCCACAAAUCUGUUYUCAGUUCGGAUCGCAGUCUGCAACUCGACUGCGUGAAGCUGGAAUCGCUAGUAAUC